rnacentral:rRNA from 1 species
UACGGGGGGAGCAAGCGUUGUUCGGAUUUACUGGGCGUAAAGGGCGCGUAGGCGGCGCAACAAGUCACUUGUGAAAUCUCCGGGCUUAACCCGGAGCGGCCAAGUGAUACUGUCGUGCUAGAGUGCGGAAGGGGCUACUGGAAUUCUCGGUGUAGCGGUGAAAUGCGUAGAUAUCUGGAGGAAUACCGGUGGCGAAGGCGGCAUCCUGGACCGACAUUGACGCUGAGGAGCGAAAGCCAGGGGAGCAAACGG